GGCAUGGAUGCAUUGGAUAUAGAGAAGUGGAAUAUUGUUAGUGAAACAUAUAUCCCAAUGAUAUCUAUCGCCUUGAGCUCCAUUGUUUUGGCGUUGGUGCUGUCCAGGCGAGAAGAUCUCUAUUAGGCAGCAAAUCUCAUGACAGGUGCUGUGUUAGUUGCAUUGGCCUAUGAUAAGAUAUCCUGAAGGAGAACAAGGAGCUGCCUAAAGGGGAUGAGAUCAACAAGUUUCAAUCGAAAGAGUUUAUUGUACUAUCUGCCGUGCUGGAUAGGAGGGGCCAGCGAAGUGCUUUUACUUAUGAGUUUGCUAACCCGGCAGAAUCCAAUAUUCCUGAGAUUGACGGAUGUUAUUACAUUAUUGUACUACAGCUGAAAACUCUUGGCAUUGAUGUGUAACCAUCAAGGUGAGUUUCGUAAUUUUGUUUUGUCAUUAUUCCCGGUCAUGAGUAGACGGAAAAUUUGCAUUGAGAAGAUAGACGCUAGUAAAUCCAGCCAUCAUAAAGUUAAAAUAUUUCAGGUGUGCUAGUGUGCUUUUUAUUUACAAAUAAAUAAACGACACAGAUAUGCAGAGUCGAAGAUUACAUCGACAUCGUUCUUCUUUCAUGAUUAUUAUAUAGUACGAUCUGAUAAAAACCUGGAAGUAAUACUCAAACGACAAGUGCUAGUAAAUCCAGCCAUCAUCAACUUAUAAUAUUUCAGGUGUGCUGGUGUGCUUUUUAUUUACAAAUAAAUAAACCACACAAAUAAACGACACAGAUAUGCAGAGUCGAAGGUCAAAUCGACAUCCUUCUUUUGGCAUGAUUAUUAUAUAGUGCGGUCUAAUAAAAACCUG